GCUACCGAGAGCCAGAAAAGGGGAAGACUCAGGCAAGCGCUCACAGGCCUGCCAGACCCCCAGACCCGCAGACAGAUGACUUUAUCUAUGCUCGCACCCCGGAGCCCUCGGGCUGUCUUCCAAGACAGGUGCACACGCAGGGAAUAAGGGGUGGUCACUCCCGGAGGCGGGGCCCCUAAGGCCCGCAGCGCUGUUGGGAGUGUCCCCUGCCCCGGGCUUCCUGUUAGCCCGCGAAGGGUCCAGAGUCUGCAGGGGUGGCCAGGUGGGCGACGUGGCGCCCCUACACGGAGCCCUCAAGCCCUUGGCCGCGAAGUCUGACCACAGCCACUCGUGGGAGUCUGGUGGGAGUCUGGUGGGAGACUUGGAGCCAUAAGGCAGGAAGAAAGAUGACUCUGGCAGCAGUUGCCCAGGAUGGCCUUGAGAGGGACGCUGGAGGCAGGAGGUCUGGUCAGAGGUGUCGGCGGUAUGCCUGGCUGGAGGCCGUCACCAAUUCCUUUUGGAUGCUGGAAAGCUGUAGAUGACAACCAAGUAAAAACAGUCCGAAAAAACCGAUUCCGUUUAUGCUAGCAGAGGCCCCAAGCCCUGAAAAGAGGAUGGAUGGUCUGCCUUCUCUGAGUAUAAUUCAAAAUAAAACAACACUGAAG